GAACUUUAAUUCCUGUACAUGUACUAAAAUUGGAACAAUACAGAGACGAUUAGCAUGGCCCUUGCGCAAGGAUGACACGCAAAUUCGUGAAUCGUUCCAAAAUACU
rnacentral:snRNA from 1 species